UACGAAGGGGGCUAGCGUUGCUCGGAAUUACUGGGCGUAAAGCGCACGUAGGCGGCUUUCUAAGUCGGGGGUGAAAUCCUGGAGCUCAACUCCAGAACUGCCUUCGAUACUGGAGAGCUUGAGUCCGGGAGAGGUGAGUGGAACUGCGAGUGUAGAGGUGAAAUUCGUAGAUAUUCGCAAGAACACCCGUGGCGAAGGCGGCCCCCUGGGCCGGCCCUGACACUGAGACGCGAAGGCGUGGGGAGCGAACGGG
rnacentral:rRNA from 1 species